AAAGAGUGCGGCCAUUUUUCUAAAACACAAACAAGAAGAGAAAGCGAGUUGUGAAAAUAUUCGCAGCGAAUGUUGGUCAGAGGAAAGUAUAGCUAAUUAAUCAAACGUUCAACAAAUAGUUGAAAGGAAGUAACAUUAAGAUAUACAGAUCGUUGCGAAAUACACGUAUAUGUUAACUGGAUUUAACUAGCUACAUUUCAAUUUCGUAAAAUUUGCAGCUACCAGCUAGCUAGGUUGUAGCUGGCUAGCUGGCUACUUGGCUGGCUAGCUAGUGCGACCAGCUUUCAACGAAAGGUGUUUGGAGGAAAGGGAGGGUUAAUAGACCCUGAGGAAAUAAUCAAGCAGUAGGACAGUGAGAAGUGGAAGGAAUAAUACAUGCCGGUGAAGAUGACACUUGCCUCUCCCUGUGCAGCCGCUGUUCUUCACAAUAUUGCUUCAUAGUCAUUAUUAUGAUCAACUUCAAUGUUGAUGUAAUUACUGGUGCUGUUUGUCCAUGAACAUUUAGUUUUCGUUUAUUUUUGAUAGCUGUCACGUUUGGCCGCCUCCGUCACCUCACCCAACUCCUUUCCCUGAGCCUGGCAGCUAUUUGCUCAGCAUAUCAGAUUUGUGUGGUCUGAACAAUCCCACUGCACACUGAAGAACCAAGUAGCCUUUAACUCCCUCAUCGAAUCUGGACGAAACUGGUCCAGUCCUCUGGACAAGAAGCCUUGAGCUCCAUUUGAAGAGAGGAGUAUGACUGCUGAAACACUUAACUUCGGCCCAGAAUGGCUCCGUGCACUAUCCAGAGGGGGGAGUGUGACGUCCCCCCCUCCUUCUCCAGCCAUGCCAAAGUCCAAGCUGGCUGAUUAUCGCUAUGGCCGCGAGGAGAUGCUAGCACUUUAUAUAAAAGAUAACAAGCCCCCAGAGGACAUGCAGGAUAAGGAGUUUGCUGCUAUCAUGCAGGAUGAGCCUGUGCAGCCUUUGGCCCUGGAGCCUCUAACUGAGGAGGAGCAGAGAAACUUCUCCAUGUCUGUGAACAGUGUGGCUGUGCUGAGGCUGAUGGGAAAGGGAGGCGGGGCUGCCCCUGUAGGCGUGUCUAGGGGCCGUGGAGGAUGCAUCAGAGGAGGGAGAGGGAGAGGUGAAGGUGCGUUCUACCAAAGAGUUCCUGGAGGUCCUGAUGAAGGAGAGGUGGGCUUCGGUCGUGGCCGGGAAAUGCUCCGCAGCCAAAGCUGGGAUGACCGAGCUGAGAGGCCAAGGUUUGAGAAGCCAAUCAGGUGUGCUGAAGUAGUGCGUCCAGGGUUCGAAGAGGCGGGGCCUCCGGGCAGGAAGGACUCCUGGCGUGCUGACAGCGACAACUGGCGUACCCUCCGAGAGGAGGAGGAAGAGGCGGCAGCAGCAGCAGGAGGAGAGCAGCCAGCUUGGAGAGUUGCAGGAUCCCGCCGAGAUGAUGGAGGUCCUCGUUCUGCAGGCUGGCGUGAUCGUGGCGGCCGGAGAAAGUUUGAGUUUGAAUUCCGUGACGGCGAGGGCCCCCGCAGGGAAUCCGACAGGGACGGCCUUCCUGAGUGGUGCACCGACGAGGAGGAUGGAGAGAUGGGAACCUUUGACUCCUCUGGGGCCUUCAUGUGCAUCAAGCAGAAAGACUGUAAGGACACCAUCACUGAAGAGGAUCUGGAGUUUGAAGCUCUGGAGGAAGAGGAGGAGAAUGAUCAGGGAGGCAAGGACAACAACGCUGACAGAGAAGACCUAUUGUCCCUCUACUCCUUUCAUCUAGAUGAAUGUGAAGCAGCAGGUGAAGGAGAAGAUAAGUACAAGACUCCUUCUCCUCCUGCCAUCUCUGGCUCUCCACCCUCAGACCCUCUUCCUGCCCCCUGCGCCACACAGGCACCUAUCUCCCAUCCCACCAAAACAAACUAUGUGCCCGCUGAAGGCUGCCCACUUCCAGGGAGUGGUGCCCAGCUCAGCCCAGACCCCCCCUCCACCACCACUUCCAGCCUGAUGCCUCCUCCCUCCGGAUCUCUCCUCCCCUCAACAGGGGGAGAAGCAGAGGAGGACGAGGGCAUGAAGCACCUGCAACAGGAGGCUGAAAAGAUGGUGGCCUCACUGCAGGACACGUCCCUUGAGGAGGAGUGUUUCACUCAAGCACUACAGGAGAGCCACACAAUCACCUCUCACUCUCACAUACACCCAGCCCCACACUCUCACACGCACGCCGCUGGACACACACACUCGACCCAUAGGGACUGUGCCCUGCCCCUCUCCCACGAGGCAGCCAUGAAGUGGUUCUACAAGGAUCCCCAGGGAGAGAUCCAAGGUCCUUUCUCCACGGUGGAGAUGUGUGAGUGGUUCCAGGCCGGCUACUUCACCAUGACCCUGCUGGUAAAGAGGGGUUGUGAUGAGGGCUUCCAACCCCUGGGUGACGUCAUCAAAAUGUGGGGCCGCGUGCCCUUCUCCCCCGGCCCAUCCCCCCCGCCCCUCCUGGGCAAUAUGGACCAGGAGCUGCUUAAGAAACAUUUGGAGCAGGCAGCCACUGCAGCUCUAUACCAGCAACUACAGAUGAGGUUCCAGCACAUGAACAGGUACGCGCACGCACCCACACACACACACACACACACAAUGUAUGUGAGUGUACUAAUGUGUGUAUUUGCAGGAGUGGAGAUUCUAGCAUGAUGCCCUUGAUGAACAGGUCCAUGUCAGUACCUGAUAAUGGGUCCAUGUGGGACAUGCAUACCUCGGCCUCCCAGCAGUCAGGUGGUGAGGCCAACCUAUGGGACUUAACCAUGAGUCAUUCCACUCAGGGGCCAUCUCUGGAGCAGCUACAGAAGCUCCAGGACCGGCGUGAGGCUGAACUCAGGGCCAAGCGAGAGGAGGAGGAGCGCAAGCGGCAGGUCGAGAAGAGGAGGCAGCAGGAGGAACAGAAGAGGCGUGAUGAGGAGGAGCUGUACAGGCGUAAGCAGCAGUGUCGGCAGCAGCAGGAGCUGAUCAUGAAGCUGCUGCAGCAGGCCCAGCCCGGGGCACCAGGGUGUGUCUCUGGAUCAGGGUGGAGCGGCUCCCAGGCCUCAGCCCUCUCCAAACAAGGCAAGAGCCUCGGCCUGCUGGAGCUGGAGACCGAAAGGCUGCUCAAACAGCAGGCCCAGCACCAGAGGGCCCAGCAUCAGAGAGACAGGCAUGGAGGCUUGUCGAUGGGCCAGUGGGGUGAGGGGUCUGUGGGCAUGUGGUCUGGUGGGGGCAUGGAGCCCAAAGGCAGCUCUGGAGGGAUGGGUGUCUGGGAGGAGGCUGUGAAGAACCAAAACAGCCUCCGCAAUAUGGGCAUGAAGAACAGCCGCAGCAGCCCAUCUCUCAGUGAGCAGUACAUGCUGAGGAAGAAGCGUACAGAGGAGGAGGACAAGCUGCUGAAACUGCUGCAGGGCAUGAAGCCCCAGGAUGGCUUCACCACCUGGUGUGAACAGAUGCUGCACGCACUCAACACCUCCGCUAACAACUCCUCCUCCUCACUGGACGUGGCAACCAUCGUGGCCUACCUGAAGGAGGUGGAGUCUCCCUACGAGGUCCAUGACUUUAUCCGCUCCUACCUGGGCGACACCAUGGAAGCCAAAGAGUUCGCCAAGCAGUUCCUGGAGCGCCGAGCCAAACAGAAAGCCAACCACCAGAGACAACAGCAGCAACAACAGCUAUCAAAGGAAGUUUCAGGGCUGUCCAACUUUCCUAUCCAGGUAGGCUCCGUCCAGUCCAUGUUCCAGGCAGCCCAGAUGGGAAAGGGAGGAAUGUAUGACAGUCAGGCUGCAAAGAUGAAGAAGAAACAGACCAUGAUGCUUCACUCUGACCCUAGCAUCUUAGGAUAUUCAUUCCUGGGUGCUGGGGACAGGAUGAACCUGGGUGAGAUGGAAACAGUGGAGGAUUAUUGAUCCACAGCAUCUACCUGAAUCCACCUGAGGCCUUACACCUGGAUUAAAACACACACUGACACAAACACUCACCCACACAGACAAUGACGAAUGUGCACUGCUGAGCUACUUUGCCCCCUCAUAGAUGAGGACCUGGAAAAGUAGUGUUUUUUUCUCUCAUCUCUGUGUGAGGGGAGGGGGGGGGGGGGGGUGCAGAGGAGUACCCUCCUGCACUUCUUACAGUUAAGCACCUUAAACUAAACUAAUGCACUUUAUCACAGGGUUUCAAUAUUUGAAAUGAAGUUUUGCCAGUUUGUUUUCUUGUUUUUAGGAUGCAAAAUGUGCAUAUUGUGUCUACAAUAUGAAUACACACAUGUGGAUGUGUGUGUGCAAACAUACCUAAGUAAGGAACUGGAGGUUACAUCUCCAAUAAUAAUGUCGGGUGAUGAGGACUUCUUUUGGAAAGUAUAUACUUUUUUUUUUCUUUAAGUUUUUAUAUAAAAUGUAAAGCUAUAACAAAUUGCAUUUUAUUAAGAAAAAAACUUGAAGGUUUGCACUUAGAUAAACAAAACUAGUUGUAGAUAAGUAUUGGAAGAAAACAUUUCUUUGAAUGCUGGUGGGUUUGUGUGGUAGACUUAAAGCCUGCACAAUUUUUAUUGCUUACAGAGAUGCAUAAAAAGGCCAUGUUUUUACGUUGUUCCAUGAAUUUUUUUUACUUUGAAGAAUGUAUGCAAUGUGUGCCCAUGUCAGAUGUAUGAGUGAUUGGUAGCCAAUGAAUGUGUAUGUUUUGUACAUGGAGUCUCUAAGCGAGAGUGGAGAGGGCUCUUUUCAACCAAUCUUUCACCAGCUCCUCAUCCCCUAAAUGACUUCAUUGAAGGUCUUUUGCUUUGGUGUCCAGUUACCCGUCUGGCCGUCUGUGUUUUGUCAUUGGUGCAUUGCUGCCCUCAUUCUCCAUGGUGAGUCACGACGGUCCAUGGGCUCUGAUUCGCUGAUACAACUGUGAAAACAGAUCUUAUGAUUCAAGGCAGAUUUCCGAGGUGUAUUUUACUGCAGUUAAGUCACUCUCUCUCGUUUAAAGAACCAUACAGUUCUGUUUAAUCGUUCUCUUCCUUGUGGUUAUGAGAGUUGGUAAGACCAGAGAAGUCCCUUGCAUUUUCCAAGGGGAUCUAUUGCCUUUAACGACAUGUCAGUGUUGAGGUCUUGCUUUCCUGCUUCCAGGCAGUUUUGCAGACGAUUGCCACUGCGUAUGUUAACCCUAGUAUCGAUAGCUAGAGUCCUGUCUUUGUGUUGCUUUUUGAAUAGAAUGUCAGUUUUUAAACAAAGUGAAAGUAUUUGGACUUGAUAUGGAGCACUUUUGAAGCUGCUACACUAUUGUAUUUUUAUAUUGUUGUUUUAGUUUUUUUUUUUUGCCUCUUAUGGUAAUUAUUUUUACUUAAAAAAAAAAAAAAAAUCUGGGUGUGGAAAUGAAUGUAUUCCAAAAAAACUGAAAUGUACAACAGUGCAUUGAGAUGAAGCCAGACUUUAAACAAAUAUUUUGGAGCUAAUGAGUAGAGUUUUGCUGAAGAAGUAUUAGAAUCCCAGAAGAUGAGCUACUGUAAAUGAAACCAAGAUGGACACGGCUGAACACUGCCUUCUCUUACUGCUCUCUGAGAAACACAUCCUAAUAAGAUGAAGACAUCUGUCCACCGCCAUGUUGUCGUCCUCGAUACAACACACACGAGGAACUAGCAUGGGAAAUGUAGCAGUCGUGUGUUUUUUUUUUUUUAAGAGAAAUUGGUCUCCUUUUUUUUUUUAUCUUUGAAUGUCUGGGUUGUUACUAUUCAUGAAUGAUCUCUUGCUUUUCCUCAUUGCCUAAAUCUUGUGACAAUUGAGUUUUUGAAGAUGUGGGCAGAGGAAUGAUCGGUACGUCAUCAGCAAACUGAAACGGUCUUCGCUUUAACCGGUCUGGAUUAUAUUUUUAAUGGAAAAAAAGCCCCCCCCCCACACACACACAAAAAAAAAAUUAUCAAGGGGAAUGGAUAUUAGUUUUGGGGGGCUGUGAUAAUGUAAUAUGUGGCUAUCAUUAGAUGCCAUGGGAUGGAGUGAGAUGGAGAGAACCUGAGAUGGGCAGAGAGGAGUCAAAAAUCGGACUCCUUUCGCUCUCCUUGUACCUCCAACAGAGACUUGUUCAUCAGGCCGGCCUCUUGCGUCCUUGCCCUAGCUGAUUUUCCCACCCUUUUACAAAAUGCUGUGCUACGUGUCUCAUGGGGUUUGGCAUGCUUGGACCAUGUGACUGGAGGCCUCCUGAUGUUAAAUGGACUUCUAACGAGAAUUAUUGAAUGUUCUAGAAAAUAAACUACUAAAAUGAGGAGAACAUUUUU